UACGUAGGGGCCUAGCGUUGUCCGGAAUUAUUGGGCGUAAAGAGCUCGUAGGUGGUUCGGCAAGUCGGAUGUGAAAUCUCCACGCUUAACGUGGAGGGGCCAUUCGAAACUGCUGUGACUCGAGUCCGGUAGGGGAGCGUGGAAUUCCUGGUGUAGCGGUGAAAUGCGCAGAUAUCAGGAGGAACACCAGCGGCGAAGGCGGCGCUCUGGGCCGGAACUGACGCUGAGGAGCGAAAGCGUGGGUAGCAAACAGG
rnacentral:rRNA from 1 species